rnacentral:rRNA from 1 species
AUCGAUGAAGAACGCAGCGAAAUGCGAUACGUAAUGUGAAUUGCAGAAUUCAGUGAAUCAUCGAAUCUUUGAACGCAACUUGCGCUCCUUGGUAUUCCAUGGAGCAUGCCCGUUUGAGUGUCACGAUAACCCUCAUUCAUGCGAUUUUAAUGAUUGCAUGAAUGGAUUUGGACGCUGCCGUAAAUGGCUCGUCUUGAAAUGCAUUAGCUUUGCGCCCAUUAGCGUGCUCGGUGUGAUAAUUAUCAUUCGCCUCAGGCCGCUUCCAGUGACGCUGCUUCUAAUGGUCCUUUGCGGACGAUCAAUCUAAAGCUUUGGCCUCAAAUCGGGUAGGACUACCCGCUGAACUUAAGCAUAUCAAUAAGCGGAGGAAAAGAAACUAACAAGGAUUCCCCUAGUAACGGCGAGUGAAGCGGGAAAAGCUCAAAUUUGAAAUCUGGCGGUCUACGGCCGUCCGAGUUGUAAUCUAGAGAGGUGUUUUCCGUGCUGGACCAUGUACAAGUCCCUUGGAACAGGGCGUCAUAGAGGGUGAGAAUCCCGUCCGUGACAUGGACUACCAGUGCUCUGCGAUACACCUUCAAAGAGUCGAGUUGUUUGGGAAUGCAGCUCAAAACGGGAGGUAAAUUCCUUCUAAAGCUAAAUACAGGCGAGAGACCGAUAGCGAACAAGUACCGUGAGGGAAAGAUGAAAAGAACUUUGGAAAGAGAGUUAAACAGUACGUGAAAUUGUUGAAAGGGAAACGCUUGAAGUCAGUCGCGUCUCUGGGGACUCAGCCUUGCUUCUGCUUGGUGCACUUCUCCUUAGAUGGGCCAGCAUCAAUUUUGUUCGGCGGAAAAAGACUUCGGGAAUGUGGCAGUCUCGGCUGUGUUAUAGCCCGUUGUUAAACGUUGAAUGGGAUUGAGGAUCGCAGCGUGCCGCAAGGUAGGGCUUCGGCCACUUCACACGCUUAGGAUGCUGGCGUAAUGGCUUUAAACGACCCGUCUUGAAACACGG